GAGGGAGGUGAAAAGAGCCUGAAACCAGAUGGCUACAGGCAGGUAGGGCGUGAAAGAGCUUUAUGCUCAGCGUCCUGCUAUACGUUCCGAAAAACGGGCCAGGGAGUUUCUGGCGAUGGCGAGGCUAAGUGCUUUAAGCACGGAGCCGUAGCGAAAGCGAAAGCCUGCAGUGUCUUAUGACACGAGAGGCGAGGUAUGAUUGCCUUAAGUCAUCGUCAGAAGACCCGAAACCGGUUGAUCUAUGCGCGGCCAGGUCGAAGCCUUCCUUAAGGGAGGUGGAGGACCGAACCGGUGCUGACGUGCAAAUCGCUCGGAUGAGCCGCGUAUAGGGGUGAAAGGCCAAUCUAAACCGGAGAUAGCUGGUUCCCUCCGAAGCUUCCCGCAGGAAGUCCUCCGGCGAGGUAGGUGGCGCGGUAGAGCACUGAUUGGGUGUUUAGAGGAGGAAACUCUUCGGCACCCUGUCAAACUCCGAAUGCGUCACCGCCGUAGACCCGGGGAGUUCGGGCGCCUGGGGUAAGCUUGGUGUCCGAAAGGGAAUGAACCCAGCCUUACGUUAAGGUCCCCAAGUACUGGCUAAGUGCGACCCAAAGGCGGUCCACAUCCUAAAACAGCUGGGAGGUAGGCUUAGAAGCAGCCAUCCUUUAAAGAGUGCGUAACAGCUCACCAGUCGAGGAUGUGGGCUCCGAAAAUGGACGGGGCUCAAGCCAGUCACCGAUACGUAAGCACGAUGAGUGGGUAGGAGGGCGCGGUGUAUGGGCAGAAGCUGGGGCGUGAGCUCCAGUGGACCGUGCACCGUCGAGAAUCCUGGCGAAAGUAGCAGCAAAGUCGGGUGAGAAUCCCGACCGCCGAAGGGGCCAGGGUUCCACGGCAAUGUUCGUCAGCCGUGGGUUAGCCGGUCCUAAGGAUUACCCCAACUGGAGUAAUCCGAAAGGGAAGCGGGUUAAUAUUCCCGCGCUACCAUAGACUAUACUCCAUGUAUGAAGCAUCUGGAUAGGCUGAGUAGUGCAGUCGCACUAUCUAAGCACUUAAGCCCCCGGAGUGCCGUAAUGGCGAGAAGGGGGUGAAGGUGUGAUGGGGUCCCCAAUUGAGGGGACUUCAGCUGAUUCCUGGUGCCCGUGAAAAGUACAUGGCGUGGUCUAUGGUAUCCGUACCUAGAACUGACACAGGUGCCCCUAGGUGAGAAGCCUAAGGCGUGUCGGACUAAUCCGCCCGAGGGAACUCGGCAAACUAGCCCCGUAACUUCGGGAGAAGGGGUGC
rnacentral:rRNA from 1 species